rnacentral:rRNA from 1 species
CCUACGGGAGGCAGCAGUGGGGAAUAUUGCACAAUGGGCGCAAGCCUGAUGCAGCGACGCCGCGUGAGGGAUGACGGCCUUCGGGUUGUAAACCUCUUUCAGCAGGGAAGAAGCGCAAGUGACGGUACCUGCAGAAGAAGCGCCGGCUAACUACGUGCCAGCAGCCGCGGUAAU